CACAAGCGGUGGAUGAUGUGGUUAAUUCGAUGCAACGCGAAAACCUUACCACCUUUGACAUGUACGGAAGUUGCCAGAGAUGGCUUCGUGCUCGAAAGAGAGCCGUAACACAGGUGCUGCAUGGCUGUCGUCAGCUCGUGUCGUGAGAUGUUGGGUUAAGUCCCGCAACGAGCGCAACCCUUGUCAUUAGUUGCUACGAAAGGGCACUCUAAUGAGACUGCCGGUGACAAACCGGAGGAAGGUGGGGAUGACGUCAAGUCCUCAUGGCCCUUAUAGGUGGGGCUACACACGUCAUACAAUGGCUGGUACAAAGGGUUGCCAACCCGCGAGGGGGAGCCAAUCCCAUAAAGCCAGUCGUAGUCCGGAUCGCAGUCUGCAACUCGACUGCGUGAAGUCGGAAUCGCUAGUAAUCGUGGAUCAGCAUGUCACGGUGAAUACGUUCCCGGGUCUU
rnacentral:rRNA from 1 species